rnacentral:rRNA from 1 species
GUGCCAGCCGCCGCGGUAAUACAGAGGGUGCGAGCGUUGUCCGGAAUCACUGGGCGUAAAGGGCGCGUAGGUGGCGACCCAAGUCAGUGGUGAAAGCUCGACGCUCAACGUCGAGUCGGCCACUGAUACUGGGUUGCUCGAGCACUGUAGAGGCAGAUGGAAUUCCGGGUGUAGCGGUGGAAUGCGUAGAGAUCCGGAAGAACACCGGUGGCGAAGGCGGUCUGCUGGGCAGUAGCUGACACUGAGGCGCGACAGCGUGGGGAGCAAACAGGAUUAGAUACCCCCGUAGUCC